UCUGCAAAGGCCUUCGCCCUGGUACUCAUGUGGAUGACCUUCUGUCUGCUCAAGAAGAAUUGAAUGAUUACGGUUGGGACAGUGACUUGGCAGCUAUCCUCCUGCUCGUUCAUCUCUUGCCUCCAACCGCAAAAGGACAAAGACAUGGGAAAAUCAGUGCCACUGAAGCUACUGACCAUGUGGUCAAGUUCAUGAAGGUGGGGACAAGCAUGGUGACAUUCCUUGAAAGAGUUGGAUCAGCACAGCCCUUCCUCCUCUGUGUUGACAAAAGAAGAGUAGUAUCCAGAAGUUUUACGUCAUCCUCGAUCAGAAGGCCAUUCCCUGCGUGGCGCAGACAGCUGUGGCUGCCUUCGAUGAACUGUUUAAGGCCCACUUCGUCUUUGCUGUAUCCUACGAUGAGGCCUUGUGCAACUUCUACACCUUCAUUCAGACUACAGUGUAUGGGAUUGACGUCGGCACUACAAAAGAGAGUCCACGGGUCAAGGAA